rnacentral:rRNA from 1 species
AUAUGCUUGUCUCAAAGAUUAAGCCAUGCAUGUCUCAGUACAAGCCACAUUAAGGUGAAACCGCGAAAGGCUCAUUAAAUCAGUUAUGGUUCCUUAGAUCGUACCCACAUUUACUUGGAUAACUGUGGUAAUUCUAGAGCUAAUACAUGCAAACAGAGUUCCGACCGGAGACGGGAGGAAUGCUUUUAUUAGAUCAAAACCAAUCGGCGGCGGGUGCGUUCGCGCGUCCGUUCGCCGCUCAACCUGGUGACUCUGAAUAACUUUCGGCUGAUCGCACGGUCCAGCACCGGCGACGCAUCUUUCAAAUGUCUGCCUUAUCAACUGUCGAUGGUAGGUUCUGCGCCUACCAUGGUCGUAACGGGUAACGGGGAAUCAGGGUUCGAUUCCGGAGAGGGAGCCUGAGAAACGGCUACCACAUCCAAGGAAGGCAGCAGGCGCGCAAAUUACCCACUCCCGGCACGGGGAGGUAGUGACGAAAAAUAACGAUACGGGACUCAUCCGAGGCCCCGUAAUCGGAAUGAGUACACUUUAAAUCCUUUAACGAGGAUCAAUUGGAGGGCAAGUCUGGUGCCAGCAGCCGCGGUAAUUCCAGCUCCAAUAGCGUAUAUU